rnacentral:rRNA from 1 species
AUUGAACGCUGGCGGCAGGCCUAACACAUGCAAGUCGAGCGGAUGAAGGGAGCUUGCUCCUGGAUUCAGCGGCGGACGGGUGAGUAAUGCCUAGGAAUCUGCCUGGUAGUUGGGGAUAACGUCCGGAAACGGGCGCUAAUACCGCAUACGUCCUGAGGGAGAAAGUGGGGGAUCUUCGGACCUCACGCUAUCAGAUGAGCCUAGGUCGGAUUAGCUAGUUGGUGGGGUAAAGGCCUACCAAGGCGACGAUCCGUAACUGGUCUGAGAGGAUGAUCAGUCACACUGGAACUGAGACACGGUCCAGACUCCUACGGGAGGCAGCAGUGGGGAAUCUUGGGCAAUGGGCGAAAGCCUGAUCCAGCCAUGCCGCGUGAGUGAAGAAGGUCUUCGGAUUGUAAAGCACUUUAAGUUGGGAGGAAGGGCAGUAAGUUAAUACCUUGCUGUUUUGACGUUACCAACAGAAUAAGCACCGGCUAACUUCGUG